rnacentral:rRNA from 1 species
AACGGUGGCUAAUACCGGAUGUGCCGANNGGUAAAAGGCUUGCUGCCUGAAGAUGAGCUCGCGUCUGAUUAGCUAGUAGGUGUGGUAAGAGCGCACCUAGGCGACGAUCAGUAGCUGGUCUGAGAGGAUGAUCAGCCACACUGGGACUGAGACACGGCCCAGACUCCUACGGGAGGCAGCAGUGGGGAAUUUUCCGCAAUGGGCGAAAGCCUGACGGAGCAAUACCGCGUGAGGGAGGAAGGCUCUUGGGUUGUAAACCUCUUUUCUCAGGGAAUAAAAAAAUGAAGGUACCUGAGGAAUAAGCAUCGGCUAACUCCGUGCCAGCAGCCGCGGUAAUACGGAGGAUGCAAGCGUUAUCCGGAAUGAUUGGGCGUAAAGGGUCCGCAGGUGGCCCUGUAAGUCUGCUGUUAAAGAGUGAGGCUUAACCUCAUAAGAGCAGUGGAAACUACAGAGCUAGAGUGCGUUCGGGGUAGCANGAAUUCCCUGGUGUAGCGGUGAAAUGCGUANAGAUCANGAAGAACACCGGUGGCGAAAGCGUGCUACUANGCCGUAACUGACGCUGANGGACGAAAGCUAGGGGAGCGAAUGGGAUUAGAUAC